rnacentral:rRNA from 1 species
UACCCUACGGGGGGCAGCAGUGGGGAAUCUUCCGCAAUGGGCGAAAGCCUGACGGAGCAAUGCCGCGUGAGUGAAGAAGGCCUUCGGGUUGUAAAACUCUGUCCUUAUCGAAGAGAGGUGGGUAUGUGAAUAAUGUACUCAUAGGACGGUAGAUAAGGAGGAAGCCCCGGCUAACUACGUGCCAGCAGCCGCGGUAAUACGUAGGGGGCUAGCGUUAUCCGGAAUUACUGGGCGUAAAGGGUGCGUAGGUGGUUUCUUAAGUCAGAGGUGAAAGGCUACGGCUCAACCGUAGUAAGCCUUUGAAA